GGGUGCAAUCCAAGCUGGAACCGAGUGAGAGGCUCCUGCUGAUAACCAGUGGGGGAAGCUUUUGGAGCAGACAGACUUCUCUGUUACAGCUUGUGGUGUGGAGCAGCAGGUGAUCUGUGCAGCAAAAGGGAAAGUGGGACUCAGAGCGACCCUCAACCAGCAGUUUAAGCACUGCAGCCCUUGGAUGCUCCUCUCCCCAUACCCGCAGCGAGCACAGCGCAGGGCACAGCUCGCCCGGAGACGUUCAUGCGGGUCCCAAGAGGAGGUGUUGUACUCUGCCUAGUUCAAAGUAUUUGGUUUCUCCCUGAGCUACUCUUAAUCUGCUCUCUGGUUUCUGCUGCAAACUGUUAACAGGCCAAAAGGCAUGUGGGACAAGAGGUACUUUAUCAGUGCAAUUAAAAAAAAUACCCAUGGUUAAAAUAAAUAGUUAAGAGACUGAGCUGUGCUUUCCAGCUCCAUUAAAGACUGAAGUGCCCCUGCCA